rnacentral:ncRNA from 1 species
UCAUCACAGGGAGAAUGACGAAAAGGGAAUCAGGUGCAAAUCCUGAACAGACCCGCUGCUGUAAAUCCUAUAAGACUCUUUGAACACACCCCACGCCACUGUCUGACAUACAGAUGGGAAGGCUUUCAGAGACGGAUAAGUCAGAAGACCUGCCAGAAACAA